UUGGAGGGCAAGUCUGGUGCCAGCAGCCGCGGUAAUUCCAGCUCCAAUAGCGUAUAUCAAAGUUGUUGCAGUUAAAAAGCUCGUAGUUGAAUUUCGGGAUCAAUAUUUCGGUCAUGCCGUUGGUAUGCACUGUUAUCAUUGAUUUCUCACCUUUUAAAGAACCGUAAUGCCAUUAAUUUGGUGUUACGUGGAAUUAGGACUGUUACCUUGAAAAAAUUAGAGUGUUUAAAGCAGGCUCACGCUUGAAUACAUUAGCAUGGAAUAAUGAAAUAGGACAUCCGAUUCUAUUUUGUUGGUUUCUAGGAUCGAUGUAAUGAUUAAUAGGGAUAGUUGGGGGCAUUAGUAUUCAAUUGUCAGAGGUGAAAUUCUUGGAUUUAUUGAAGACUAACUACUGCGAAAGCAUUUGCCAAGGAUGUUUUCAUUAAUCAAGAACGAAAGUUAGGGGAUCGAAGACGAUCAGAUACCGUCGUAGUCUUACCCAUAAACUAUGCCGACUAGGGAUCGGAUGAUGUUAAUUUUUUAAUGACUCAUUCGGCGCCUUACGGGAAAC
rnacentral:rRNA from 2 species